rnacentral:rRNA from 1 species
GAUGAACGCUGGCGGCGUGCCUAAUACAUGCAAGUCGAACGGAAAGGCCUCUUCGGAGGUACUCGAGUGGCGGACGGCUGAGUAACGCGUAGGAACGUACCCCAAACUGAGGGAUAACUGCUCGAAAGAGUAGCUAAUACCGCAUGUGCUCUACGGAGUAAAGCUUCGGCGGUUUGGGAACGGCCUGCGUAUGAUUAGCUAGUUGGUGAGGUAAUGGCUCACCAAGGCGACGAUCAUUAGCUGGUCUGAGAGGAUGAUCAGCCAGACUGGGACUGAGACACGGCCCAGACUCCUACGGGAGGCAGCAGUAGGGAAUUUUCCACAAUGGGGGCAACCCUGAUGGAGCAACGCCGCGUGCAGGAUGAAGGCUUUCGGGUCGUAAACUGCUUUUAUAUGUGACGAUUUUGACGGUAGCAUAUGAAUAAGGAUCGGCUAACUCCGUGCCAGCCGCCGCCGUAA